rnacentral:rRNA from 1 species
UAGAGUUUGAUCCUGGCUCAGGACGAACGCUAGCGGCGUGCUUAACACAUGCAAGUCGAGCGGUAAGGCCCUUCGGGGUACACGAGCGGCGAACGGGUGAGUAACACGUGGGUGAUCUGCCUUGCACUUCGGGAUAAGCCUGGGAAACCGGGUCUAAUACCGGAUAUGACCAUGAGAUGCAUGUCUUGUGGUGGAAAGAUUUAUCGGUGCGAGAUGGGCCCGCGGCCUAUCAGCUUGUUGGUGAGGUAACGGCUCACCAAGGCGACGACGGGUAGCCGACCUGAGAGGGUGACCGGCCACACUGGGACUGAGACACGGCCCAGACUCCUACGGGAGGCAGCAGUGGGGAAUAUUGCACAAUGGGCGAAAGCCUGAUGCAGCGACGCCGCGUGCGGGAUGACGGCCUUCGGGUUGUAAACCGCUUUUGACAGGGACGAAGCGCAAGUGACUGUACCUGUAGAAUAAGGACCGGCCAACUACGUGCCAGCAGCCGCGGUAAUACGUAGGGUCCGAGCGUUGUCCGGAAUUACUGGGCGUAAAGAGCUUGUAGGCGGUUCGUCGCGUCGUUUGUGAAAACUUGGGGCUCAACCUUAAGCUUGCAGGCGAUACGGGCGGACUAGAGUACUUCAGGGGAGACUGGAAUUCCUGGUGUAGCGGUGAAAUGCGCAGAUAUCAG